UUCCGGUUGAUCCCGCCGGAGGUCACUGCUAUCGGGGUUCGAUUAAGCCAUGCGAGUCGAGAGGGUUCAGACCCUCGGCGGACUGCUCAGUAACACGUGGAUAAUCUGCCCUAUGGUGGAGGAUAACCCCGGGAAACUGGGGAUAAUACUCCAUAAGUCAGGAGUACUGGAACGUCUCCUAACUGAAAGUUUCGGCGCCAUAGGAUGAAUCUGCGGCCGAUUAGGUAGUUGUUGGGGUAACGGCCCAACAAGCCCGUAAUCGGUACGGGUUGUGGGAGCAAGAGCCCGGAGAUGGAAUCUGAGACACGAUUCCAGGCCCUACGGGGCGCAGCAGGCGCGAAAACUUUACAGUGCAGGAAACUGUGAUAAGGGAACCCCGAGUGCCCGUACACGCGGGCUGUCCCGGUGUUUAAAACACAUCGGAAGAAAGGGCCGGGCAAGACCGGUGCCAGCCGCCGCGAUAAUACCGGCGGCUCGAGUGGUGACCACUUUUAUUGGGCUUAAAGCGUUCGUAGCUUGAUUUUUAAGUCUCUUGGGAAAUCUCACGGCUUAACUGUGAGGCGUCUAAGAGAUACUGGGAAUCUAGGGACCGGGAGAGGUAAGAGGUACUUCAGGGGUAGAAGUGAAAUUCUGUAAUCCUUGAGGGACCACCGAUGGCGAAGGCAUCUUACCAGAACGGCUUCGACAGUGAGGAACGAAAGCUGGGGGAGCGAACGGGAUUAGAUACCCCGGUAGUCCCAGCCGUAAACUAUGCGCGUUAGGUGUGCCUGUAACUACGAGUUACCGGGGUGCCGAAGUGAAAACGUGAAACGUGCCGCCUGGGAAGUACGGUCGCAAGGCUGAAACUUAAAGGAAUUGGCGGGGGAGCACCACAACGGGUGGAGCCUGCGGUUUAAUUGGAUUCAACGCCGGA
rnacentral:rRNA from 1 species